rfam:Prunus persica cultivar Lovell chromosome G2, whole genome shotgun sequence.
AGGGUUAGUUGGGAGCUUCCUUUGGUCCAAAACCAGGAGGGAGAGAUGGUUUACGCUGCUGCUGGUUCAUGGAUACCUCUGGGGUGCGCACGUUAUGAAACUGAAGUGCGCAGCUUAAGGGUUUGCAUGACCUAGGAGAUGUGAUUGCCUUCUCCUCUCCUUACUUGGAUUGAAGGGAGCUCCAUAUUGGCCUCUC